AUUGAACGCUGGCGGCAUGCUUUACACAUGCAAGUCGAACGGCAGCACGGGGGCAACCCUGGUGGCGAGUGGCGAACGGGUGAGUAAUGCAUCGGAACGUACCCAGUCGUGGGGGAUAACGCAGCGAAAGUUGUGCUAAUACCGCAUACGACCUGAGGGUGAAAGCGGGGGACCGUAAGGCCUCGCGCGAUUGGAGCGGCCGAUGUCUGAUUAGCUAGUUGGUGGGGUAAAGGCCCACCAAGGCGACGAUCAGUAGCGGGUCUGAGAGGAUGAUCCGCCACACUGGGACUGAGACACGGCCCAGACUCCUACGGGAGGCAGCAGUGGGGAAUUUUGGACAAUGGGGGCAACCCUGAUCCAGCCAUGCCGCGUGCGGGAANAAGGCCUGGUGUAACGCUUCGUACGGAAGAAAUACGCAUGGACUAAUAACUCUGUGUGGAUGACGGUACCGUAAGAAGAAGACA
rnacentral:rRNA from 1 species